rnacentral:rRNA from 1 species
UACGUAGGGUGCGAGCGUUGUCCGGAAUUAUUGGGCGUAAAGGGCUCGUAGGCGGUUUGUCGCGUCGGGAGUGAAAACCCAGGGCUUAACUCUGGGCUUGCUUUCGAUACGGGCAGACUAGAGGUAUGCAGGGGAGAACGGAAUUCCUGGUGUAGCGGUGAAAUGCGCAGAUAUCAGGAGGAACACCGGUGGCGAAGGCGGGUCUCUGGGCAGUAACUGACGCUGAGGAGCGAAAGCGUGGGGAGCAAACAGG